ACCCGGUACGUGGAGUGAGGUACGGCUGUGAACCCCGCCAGGCCCGAGAGGGAGCAACGGUAAGCAGUUUAGUGCCUGUGCUCCACACCGGGCUUU
rfam:Coprothermobacter proteolyticus DSM 5265, complete genome.